CCGAGUCGAACGCGCCCAGCUUCAUGCGAAAGAUCUUCCCGAACCUCCGGUGGUACUGAGCCUGGGGAGCGGAAAAAACCCCGCGAUGAAGAUCUUAGAGCUCUGUAAAUAUUGAUGGGAAAGUACAGUAAUUCCCACUCUGCAGAAGAGAAACUGAAAUGGCUUUGAAAACUGAGAUCUCCAAGUUAUUCACAUUCACUGGGAAAUGAAAGCAAAAGAAACCUUUAUUCUAGUUUUACUCAAAUACUGGUUUUUACCUCUAAACUCCUCUUCUUAUCUCACAUUCUGGAUGGUUACUCCCCUCCAAGAUGACGGUAGCAGUGUGAAGAUAAAGCUCUGCUGAGCAAACUGAGCCCAAGGUAAUCCUGAGAGAGGGAUCCAGAAAAACAGAGGGAUGGAUGAAAAGCUCAAAUUCCACCAGCCAAGGAAUCUUCCAGCUGGCUGUGACCUGUGUGGAGAUGUCCACCUCAGCCAUAAACAUUGCAACACUCCACUACUGAAGGAGCCUCCAAAGAAGCACAUAGCUCAAGAAAAUGAAGAGGUUUCUUGACUUAAAUCAAGCAAAGAUUGCUUAAAAAAAAAUAAACUUGGACCAUCUUUUCUGUGAGUAAACAUUUAUUACCUGCUUUGGAAGAGCAAGCAAUGCUUCACACACUCUGCAUCCUCUAGAGAGGAGCUUGCAGGGGGACAAUCAGGGAGAAAGUGAUGAGAACAGACCAAGGAAUCGAGGCCCAGGACAAGAUGCUCUGACAGCCAGCUUGGAAAUACUCAGGACUUGGCAGGUUUUGCAUUUUUCCCUGAAGAUUAGAAUUACUCUCUGGGAUGUUUCAGUUUCUGGUCUCUUUUAGCAGUAUUGCUCUGCCUGAGCAGGGAAGGGAGGUGUGGGAGUGAAGGAUUUGUGCAAUAGUUACUGUCCCAGGCUGAAUAUUUCUCUUUGAAUAGGAGUCUGGAAGGUUUUGCCACCUUCCUCUCAGAGCUGUGCAAGGAACAUUUAUUUAAUUUAAAAAGCAGCAUUUAGGAAUCCCUGGAAGUGUCCCAGGCCAGGUUGGACGGGGCUUGGAGCACCCUGGGGCAGUGGAAGUUGUCCCUGCCCAUGGUGGGGGGUGAAAUAAGAGGAUUUUUUGAGUCCCUUUCAACCAAAACCAUCCUGUGAUUCUGUGAGUAUAUAAAAUCUUGGUGAUUUUUGCCCAUGCAAAAAAUUCCUGGUUUAACUCUGCUUACAGAAAAACUGUGCUGAAGAGCAGUAAUUUACAUUAUCCUUUAUGUGCAAUUAGAUGUAUUAACAUAUGUAUUAACAUGUAUUAACACCCAAAGCAGCACUUGUGUGCUGACACUGAAAAAUUCUGAAUAUUUUCAGUUGUAGUGGAAUUACUGACUGUACAACAUAAGUGACCAAAACCUGUUUGCCAACAGCAAGGGAAGAAACACAGGGGAUGUUGAGCAUCAACACUUGAAAUUUAAAAUAAAAUUCUAUAUCUAAAAUGAAGUUGAGAAUCUGAAGGUUUUAAUUGUUUUAUGAGUGUCUAAUUGCCUGUACAAAUAGCUGUUGCCUGACUCCUUGGAGGAAUUUGCUCCAGCUGGUUCUGCAAGCCCCUGAAUCACACCCGAGCUGCUGCCAUUUACCGGAUUUGUGGAUGAAGCCGCAGUGUUUGCUCAGAUCGCUUCACUUUCGAUCUGCUGGAUGUGUUUGUGCUGAGGUAAAACUGACCUCAGACCAAGGCUUGGAAAGCAAAUUCUUGUCACUUGCUCAGGGUUUGAGGGUUCUGUUUCAGCUGGAUGCUGCUAUCCAGUUUGUCAAAGAAAAGGCAGCAAUAAUGUUGGGCUUGGGCAUUUGCUUGCAUUUAUCUCACAAAAAGAAACAUUUCUUGUUCUUGUGCUGGCAUGUUACAAAGUCUCCAUUGUGUGAAUGUAGUAUUUCGUGUUAUUUUUGCAUUAUACUGCGUUAUCUUUCUAGAGUUUCACAGAUAUUAAUGUCUGGUGUCUAAAUUCCCCUGAAAUUCCAAGCUGGUGCUCUGCUGAGGUCAGCGCCUGGAAGUGCUGCCAAGAAGUGAGGAACAUGGUUUAGGAGGUGAAGUUGGUGACAGAACCCUGAGCCCCAGCUGCUGAUUGUGCCAUUCUUGGUGAAUUUCUCCUGAAUGACGCCCACCCAGCUCUGUCCCUGCACGUGUUCAGAGAGGAGGGGUGCUGGUUAUUCAUUUUAUCGCCACCUUGCCCACGACUACUGUUUGCAUUAAUACCUGGUCUCUAUAUUUCUGAGAAACAGCGAAUAAAUAGGAGAUUUUAGAUGUUUUUACUAUUAAAGAGAACUGCUCUUUCAUCCCAGGGCAGAGGGAGGGUGGAACAACCCUGUCUGCGGCUCUGGAGUAUUUUCUGCUGAAAGCUCUAAUAAAUAUGUAGAAGAUA